rnacentral:rRNA from 1 species
GACGAACGCUGGCGGCGUGCCUAAUACAUGCAAGUCGAGCGAACAGAUGGGAGCUUGCUCCCUGAAGUCAGCGGCGGACGGGUGAGUAACACGUGGGCAACCUGCCUGUAAGACUGGAAUAACUUCGGGAAACCGGAGCUAAUACCAGAUACGUUCUUUUCUCGCAUGAGAGAAGAUGGAAAGAUGGUUUCGGCUAUCACUUACAGAUGGGCCCGCGGCGCAUUAGCUAGUUGGUGAGGUAAUGGCUCACCAAGGCGACGAUGCGUAGCCGACCUGAGAGGGUGAUCGGCCACACUGGGACUGAGACACGGCCCAGACUCCUACGGGAGGCAGCAGUAGGGAAUCUUCCGCAAUGGACGAAAGUCUGACGGAGCAACGCCGCGUGAACGAUGAAGGCCUUCGGGUCGUAAAGUUCUGUUGUUAGGGAAGAACAAGUACCAGAGUAACUGCUGGUACCUUGACGGUACCUAACCAGAAAGCCACGGCUAACUACGUGCCAGCCGCCGCCGUAAGAC